GAGCGUUCGAGAAUGACAAUACUUAUGAGUGCUAUUUCUUGUAAUAUCUAGCUAUUAAUGAGUAAACCAUAAUAGCCAUACACGAUUUUAUUGUAAUUUUACCUUUUGAAUCGAGUGCAUAUAACAUAAAAAAAUACAUAUUCCAUAUAAAAGCCUUAACCUCGUUAAAUACCCCACUUGUUAUACUAUGUGUCCUGUGUUUUUUUUUUUUUUUUUUUUCUCGCUGAAGCACAGCUGGAAGUGGCCAUUGCACAGUCACCUCUAAAUAGCAUAUCGGUUUCCAAGGAUACCCGGGAGUAGCAUUUAAAUGACGUCAGUAUUCAUUGAUAGAGUAUUAUCGGCAGUAAUGAGUUCCUCUUCACCAAUAGGAUUCGAUAAGCAGUCUGUUUAGCGAUAGUGGAGUGGUGAAUGAAAGAAAGCUUGGAAAGAGAAAUGCAGCAGGGACUAGUCACACUCUACAAGCGCUGCAUGGCAUAAAGGUCCUGAUGGAGAAAGAGGGAGUGGGAGGGAGACAAAACUUGCGAGAGGACGAGGGAAAGCCCGUAAUGCUGUAAUGCCCAUUAGUGAGAUUUCACGCACUCUCUCUGAUCUGACUCACUGACAGAAGCCUCUAACAGACAAUAAUGAGAAUGUUUGGCAGGAUUCUGGAUGUGUGUGUGUGUGUGUGUGUGUGUGUGUGCAUCAGUGUCUAGUUUUUAUGUGCUCCGCUCAUCAGC
ensembl:lncRNA